AGAAAUAUUCUCUUUGGGAUAUGCUGUGUCAAUGUUAAUGAGGUGAUUACUUAGAAGAGAUUUGACAGAUGAUGACAUAUAUGAGUCAAUGUCUGGGAAACAUUAUAUUAGUUAAACCA